rnacentral:rRNA from 1 species
CUGAAAGAGUUUUCGGACAAUGGAUGUAGAGGAAAGUGGCGGACGGGUGAGUAACGCGUGAGGAACCUGCCUUGAAGAGGGGGACAACAGUUGGAAACGACUGCUAAUACCGCAUGACGCAUAGAGGUCGCAUGAUCUUUAUGCCAAAGAUUUAUCGCUUCAAGAUGGCCUCGCGUCUGAUUAGCUAGUUGGCGGGGUAACGGCCCACCAAGGCGACGAUCAGUAGCCGGACUGAGAGGUUGAACGGCCACAUUGGGACUGAGAUACGGCCCAGACUCCUACGGGAGGCAGCAGUGGGGAAUAUUGGGCAAUGGGCGCAAGCCUGACCCAGCAACGCCGCGUGAAGGAAGAAGGCUUUCGGGUUGUAAACUUCUUUUAAGAGGGAAGAGCAGAAGACGGUACCUCUAGAAUAAGCCACGGCUAACUACGUGCCAGCAGCCGCGGUAAUACGUAGGUGGCAAGCGUUGUCCGGAUUUACUGGGUGUAAAGGGCGUGCAGCCGGGUCUGCAAGUCAGAUGUGAAAUCCAUGGGCUCAACCCAUGAACUGCAUUUGAAACUGUAGAUCUUGAGUGUCGGAGGGGCAAUCGGAAUUCCUAGUGUAGCGGUGAAAUGCGUAGAUAUUAGGAGGAACACCAGUGGCGAAGGCGGAUUGCUGGACGAUAACUGACGGUGAGGCGCGAAAGUGUGGGGAGCAAACAGGAUUAGAUACCCUGGUAGUCCACACUGUAAACGAUGAAUACUAGGUGUGCGGGGACUGACCCCCUGCGUGCCGCAGUAAACACAAUAAGUAUUCCACCUGGGGAG